AGUGAACGCUGGCGGUAGGCCUAACACAUGCAAGUCGAACGGCAGCACAGUAAGAGCUUGCUCUUACGGGUGGCGAGUGGCGGACGGGUGAGGAAUACAUCGGAAUCUACUUUUUCGUGGGGGAUAACGUAGGGAAACUUACGCUAAUACCGCAUACGACCUACGGGUGAAAGCAGGGGAUCUUCGGACCUUGCGCGAUUGAAUGAGCCGAUGUCGGAUUAGCUAGUUGGCGGGGUAAAGGCCCACCACGGCGACGAUCCGUAGCUGGUCUGAGAGGAUGAUCAGCGACACUGGAACUGAGACACGGUCCAGACUCCUACGGGAGGCAGCAGUGGGGAAUAUUGGACAAUGGGCGCAAGCCUGAUCCAGCCAUACCGCGUGGGUGAAGAAGGCCUUGGGGUUGUAAAGCCCUUUUGUUGGGAAAGAAAAGCAGAAGGUUAAUACCCCGCUGUUCUGACGGUACCCAAAGAAUAAGCACCGGCUAACUUCGUG
rnacentral:rRNA from 1 species